GACGAACGCUGGCGGCGUGCCUAAUACAUGCAAGUCGAGCGAAUCUGAUGGGAGCUUGCUCCUUGAUGAUUAGCGGCGGACGGGUGAGUAACACGUGGGUAACCUGCCUGUAAGACUGGGAUAACUCCGGGAAACCGGGGCUAAUACCGGAUAACUUUUUUCUUCGCAUGAGGGAGAAUUGAAAGAUGGCUUCGGCUAUCCCUUACAGAUGGACCCGGGGCGCAUUAGCUAGUUGGUAGGGUAACGGCUCACCAAGGCACCGAUGCGAGGCCGACUUGAGGGGGGGACGGCCAAACUGGGACCGGGGCCAGGCCCAGGCUCCCUAGGGGGGCAGCAGGAGGGAAACUUCCGGAAAUGACGAAAGGCUGAAGGAGCAACGCCGCGUGAGGGAUGAAGGGUUUCGGAUCGGAAAACUCGGUUGUUAGGGAAGAACAAGUAUCGUACGAAUAGGGCGGUACCUUGACGGUACCUAACCAGAAAGCCACGGCUAACUACGUG
rnacentral:rRNA from 1 species